UACGUAUGUCCCGAGCGUUAUCCGGAUUUAUUGGGCGUAAAGCGAGCGCAGACGGUUAAUUAAGUCUGAUGUGAAAGCCCGGAGCUCAACUCCGGAAAGGCAUUGGAAACUGGUUAACUUGAGUGCAGUAGAGGUAAGUGGAACUCCAUGUGUAGCGGUGGAAUGCGUAGAUAUAUGGAGGAACACCGGUGGCGAAAGCGGCUCUCUGGACUGUAACUGACACUGAGGCUCGAAAGCGUGGGUAGCAAACAGG
rnacentral:rRNA from 1 species